CAGCCCAAAGUCAAAUUCCUGCCUGAAUCUACUUCUGUGUCCUGGCCCAAUGUCAAAUUCUUGCCAAGUUUCUAGAAGUGGCCGCAAAGGGUCUCCACACUCAUCUGAGGGGAAAUGUUCUUCUCUGUCAAGGAUUCCCAAUUAGGAACUGCAGCUCGCCACUUCAAGUCAUUUCUUCUGGAUGUUCUAAAUGCCGAUCUGAUGAUGUUAUCCAUCUGCUACUUGUUGGUCUUUU
rnacentral:lncRNA from 1 species